rnacentral:rRNA from 1 species
UACGUAGGGGGCGAGCGUUGUUCGGAAUUACUGGGCGUAAAGCGCACGUAGGCGGCUUUGUAAGUUAGAGGUGAAAGCCCGGGGCUCAACUCCGGAACUGCCUUUAAGACUGCAUCGCUUGAAUCCAGGAGAGGUGAGUGGAAUUCCGAGUGUAGAGGUGAAAUUCGUAGAUAUUCGGAAGAACACCAGUGGCGAAGGCGGCUCACUGGACUGGUAUUGACGCUGAGGCGCGAAAGCUAGGGGAGCAAACGGG